rnacentral:rRNA from 1 species
GCGACCCCAGGAUGGGCGAGGGCACCCGCCGAGUUUCAG